rnacentral:rRNA from 1 species
AGAACGAACGCUGGCGGCAUGCCUAACACAUGCAAGUCGAGCGGCCGUAGCAAUACGGCAGCGGCAGACGGGAGAGUAACACGUGGGAACGCGCCCUUCGGUUCGGAAUAACUCAGGGAAACUUGGGCUAAUACCGGAUACGCCCUUACGGGGAAAGAUUUAUUGCCGAAGGAACGGCCCGCGUCCGAUUAGCUUGUUGGUGAGGUAACGGCUCACCAAGGCGACGAUCGGUAGCUGGUCUGAGAGGAUGACCAGCCUCACUGGGACUGAGACACGGCCCAGACUCCUACGGGAGGCAGCAGUGGGGAAUAUUGGACAAUGGGCGCAAGCCUGAUCCAGCCAUGCCGCGUGGGUGAUGAAGGCCCUAGGGUUGUAAAGCCCUUUCGGCGGGAAGAUAAUGACGGUACCCGCAGAAGAAGCCCCGGCUAACUUCGCGCCAGCAGCCGC